rnacentral:rRNA from 1 species
UAUCAAUAAGCGGAGGAAAAGAAACCAACAGGGAUUGCCCCAGUAACGGCGAGUGAAGCGGCAACAGCUCAAAUUUGAAAUCUGGCCCCUCUAGGGCCCGAGUUGUAAUUUGCAGAGGAUGCUUCUGGCGAGGUGCCUUCCGAGUUCCCUGGAACGGGACGCCACAGAGGGUGAGAGCCCCGUCUGGUUGGACGCCGAGCCUCUAUGAAGCUCCUUCGACGAGUCGAGUAGUUUGGGAAUGCUGCUCUAAAUGGGAGGUAUAUGUCUUCUAAAGCUAAAUACCGGCCAGAGACCGAUAGCGCACAAGUAGAGUGAUCGAAAGAUGAAAAGCACUUUGAAAAGAGGGUUAAACAGUACGUGAAAUUGUUGAAAGGGAAGCGCUCAUGACCAGACUUGGGCCCGGCGAAUCAUCCAGCGUUCUCGCUGGUGCACUUCUCCGGGCUCAGGCCAGCAUCAGUUCGCCCCGGGGGAUAAAGGCUUCGGGAAUGUGGCUCCUCCGGGAGUGUUAUAGCCCGUUGCAUAAUACCCUGGGGCGGACUGAGGUUCGCGCAUCUGCUAGGAUGCUGGCGUAAUGGUUAUCAGCGACCCGUCUUGAAACACGGACCAAGGAGUCGUCUUCGUAUGCGAGUGUUCGGGUGUAAAACCCCUACGCGGAAUGAAAGUGAACGCAGGUGAGAGCUUCGGCGCAUCAUCGACCGAUCCUGAUGUUCUCGGAUGGAUUUGAGUAAGAGCAUACGGGGCCGGACCCGAAAGAAGGUGAACUAUGCCUGUAUAGGGUGAAGCCAGAGGAAACUCUGGUGGAGGCUCGCAGCGGUUCUGACGUGCAAAUCGAUCGUCAAAUAUGGGCAUGGGGGCGAAAGACUAAUCGAACCUUCUAGUAGCUGGUUUC